ensembl:lncRNA
CUUGAUUUAGGCCUGAAGCAUAACAAAGGGUUUCAUGGUCUCAGAAAGCAAACCCGAUACCUUGUGGUACCACCUCGAGGCAGAGCAACCAUUGCUAAUUCCCUAAACUAAACCACAUUCCCUCUCCUCCUGGGUAGGUAGGUAAGAGAGGUGAGGUGCGGGCUACAACCUGUCAGCAGAGCAGAUCGCCCUCAAGUUGUCCAAAUCACCUCCAGUUUCACUCCUCUGUGCAAAUGCGAGGCAUGUGCAUGCACAGAGGACAUAUCCCAGAAGUGAGAGGGUAUCCUUGCGAAUCUGAACAUGGGGCCCCCUGUGCUCUAGCCUAGGGGUUGGACGGAGGGCGAGCUGUGAGGGCGUCUGCUGUGUUCCGGUGUUCUGGGAAAAGGACAGUGCACACAGCUGCGCUCAGGGGGUAAAUGCAAAACAAACAUGCCUCACACAUGCUUCCCCCUCAGCUGUCAUGGCUCUGCUUUCAAAGAUCUACUCCCCCCUCCCCAAUCACACACAUUGCACUGCGCCUCUCCCUUCGCUCACUCCCACUAUGUCCACCAGCCCCAAGCCGCAGCCCCUCAUCGCAGGGUCUGAGGCACAGCCACACAGGCAACUGAGGAAGGCUUUUUAAUUAACACUGAGCCAUGUGGAGGCUAUGGACUGCAGUAUUGUGUGUCAGGAUGGACAGGACUGUCUGUCUUCUAGUUGGUCUAGCUGGAUGCAGACAUACUGGCAAUGAGACGCUCAGGUUUACCGUUUUCUGUGCAUUCAUGAGAAUCUCCAGUGAGGUCUUUAACAUAUGGAAACCAAAGAUGGACAGUUUUUACCACUUUAAGUAAUUUCCUACACUUACACAAAGCCUGUUAAUGCAAGAUUCAGCUUUAUAUUUAAAAAAAAAAUCUCUCUUGUAUGCUGCACAACUCCAGCCUUGAGUGAUAACGUCCCCCUUUCUCAUUUUUCUAAUACUACUGAAGUCAGGUAAUCAGUAUAGGAGUAAAUAUAUGAUAAAUGCGUGCUGUUGUGUGCAUGUACAGUGUUGUGCGUGCAGCUUGAAGUGUCAUAAGACUCGUAAACAUUUUACUAAUUUGAUGCCGUUUUAUUUUGUGGGACAAUUUAUAAAUAUUUGAGUGUAAAACUUCUCUUAAACUUGGUGAUGAUCUGUUUGUAUUCCUAGUGUUUGUGGACAUUGUUUUCUCAUCAUGUUAUUCUUUAAUUUCCCCCUCCUACCAAGUUUGUGUGGCUUUAAGCUGUCUUUGGAAAUGAGAGUAUGAAUUUACUCAUGCUUGUGUGAUUAAAAUACCAUAAGUUAUUGUA